CAGUCGCCGCGGUAAAACGGAGGGUGCAAGCGUUAAUCGGAAUUACUGGGCGUAAAGCGUGCGUAGGCGGUUCGUUAAGUCUGUUGUGAAAGCCCCGGGCUCAACCUGGGAAUGGCAAUGGAUACUGGCGAGCUAGAGUGUGUCAGAGGAUGGUGGAAUUCCCGGUGUAGCGGUGAAAUGCGUAGAGAUCGGGAGGAACACCAGUGGCGAAGGCGGCCAUCUGGGACAACACUGACGCUGAGGCACGAAAGCGUGGGGAGCAAACAGGAUUAGAUACCCCGGUAGUCCCUGUCUCUUAUAA
rnacentral:rRNA from 1 species